CUCCGUGUCCGCGAUAUCAUUCAACUACAAUACUCGUGCGCUAAAGAAAUAAAUAUAAUUGCAAAGAUACUAUGUUAACGCGCGUCCGCCCACUCCUUAUCCACCCGGCACCGCCCUGCCUAGCGAUCGUUGUGACAUACACUCGCCGGCGCCUAGACGUCGGCGAUUGAUCGGGUACACAGCUUUUGGGACGAACAAAACAAAUGUUAACAGCAACAUCCGUUUCCACUGCCCAAACACCU